AUCCUUUUGUAGCCUGUAAGUGUAGUAACUGGGUUUUAACACCGUUACGUGAGAUGUGCCUCCUUUAACGCCAUUACAUGUAGGCACAAUACUGUCUGACA